GUUCAUCCCAGAGGUUAACGAAUAAGGGUAACAAAUAUUAAUAGCCGUGAUACCUUCUCUAGGAAUAGCCUCAAAAAAAAAAAAAAAAGAUGCUAAAACGUUGUUUCCUCCAACAGAAAAAGAGAGGAGGAGGAGGAGGAAGAGGAGGAGGAGAAAUAGGGAGAGAGAAAAUAAAGAGCAACACCUAAGGAAGAGAGAGAAGUUCCUGCAGGAGCUGGACACUGCAGAGGGUGAGUGUUCCCAGGCAGGGACCCCCCCCCGCCCCCCAACAAGCCCUGCUCCGGCCCAGGGGGGGGCUGCAGGCAGCCUUCCCCUCCCUGCCGGCCAAAUCUUGCAAAAUUUACCCAGUUUCCCCAGGCUGAGCUCUCUCCAGCAUCACCAAGCUCUGGAGACACCCAGGGGAAGCCAGGCCCUUAGCGAAAAGCACCAGGAAAAAAAAAUAAAUAAAUUAAAAUAAAAUAAAAAUGCUUGCUCCAGUUUGCCCCAGUGCAGCGCUGGAGCCGGCCGCCCUCCUCAGCUCGGGGUGUCGUCCCCGUCCCCCCCGCCAAAUAAGCGGGUUGAGGCGGGUAAAGGGGAGAAAAACCUCCAGGGAGGAUGAUGAUGGUGCACAACGCCUUCUCCUGCGCGGCCGCACCAGGAUAGGACCUUCCUGCCCGAGGCAGAAAAAAUCAAAAUCAAAAUGAGAAAUCAAAGCCUCCCCCUGAAUCCCCUGAGGUGUCCCCUCCCCGGGGGAACCGCUUUUCAACCCCCUCCCGACCCCGCGGAAAGAGGUGCGGAGGGGAAGGCAGCGCACCUAUCCACGCGGCUGUGUAUGUGCGCGUAUCGAGAUAUAUAAAAAUAUUCUAUAUAUAUAUAUAUAUAAAUAUAGAUGUGCACGCACAUAUAAGCCUGGACACGCACACACACGCGCAGUUUGCGAACGCCUGCUCCUUGCUCGAGUGUCUCGGUGAAUUUAAAUCAUUAAAUAGCAGCGCAGGAAAUUUAAAUCAUUAAAUAGCAGCGCAGGAAAUACAUAGGUACGCGCGCAACGCGUACGCCUGCUGAUAUACAUCCAUAUAUAUACAUAUAGAUAUAUAUAUAUACGCGGACGCGCCCCGCACAGCCCUCCGCGCGCGGAUUUGCGGGUGACGAAGGCGUCACGCACCCUCGCCCCACGCAUUUUUUGGAGCCACCCGCGCCCCGGCCCCCCCUGAAUCCCAGUGUCCCCUGAGGUGUCCCCUCCCCGGGGGAACCGCUUUUCAACCCCCUCCCGACCCCGCGGAAAGAGGUGCGGAGGGGAAGGCAGCGCACCUAUCCACGCGGCUGUGUAUGUGCGCGUAUCGAGAUAUAUAAAAAUAUUCUAUAUAUAUAUAUAUAUAAAUAUAGAUGUGCACGCACAUAUAAGCCUGGACACGCACACACACGCGCAGUUUGCGAACGCCUGCUCCUU
rnacentral:lncRNA from 1 species